rfam:Gasterosteus aculeatus cont1.004288, whole genome shotgun sequence.
GGGGGUAUAGCUCAGUGGUAGAGCAUUUGACUGCAGAUCAAAAGGUUCCCAGUUCAAAUCUGGGUGCCCCCU